GUUUCCUUUGCGCUGUCUGGAAGUAUGGCGACUGACACUCCUGCUUGCAGAGAGACAGCGAACAGCUUCAGUCUUCAUUUUGGAGGCUGACGUCACCGAUAUCUGUGCUAAAGGCAGCCUGAGCCUACCUCACCGACAAAGGAGAUAAUCCCAGUUUAGUCGUUGUCAGAUACCGACACAGAGCUGCUAGUCUGAUGUGGUCGAUUACCCAUAAUACCGUCAUUUCAUACAGGCCUCGUGCUAUAGGCAGACAUCACGACUGGCACUGCAGUGGCCUCCGACUGUGACCAAGCUACAUACAAACAUCUUAAAAUAUCCAGUUAUCUUCUUGUGACUCAGAUUUCCGUAUUGUAACUUACAGUGCUGUAUUGUAUCCUGUCUUGAGUGAAUUUAAAAGGAUAGGCUGCUUUUUGUAGCAUCAACAGAUUUGAAUGUGUAGUAAUUUAUACUUUUUAUACUUAAGUACUUUUAAAACCAGAUACUUUUUAUUUUAACUUAAGCAGUAUUUCGCUGGAUAACUUUAAGUUUAACAACAUUUUGGUGUGGUAUCUGUACUUUAAUUUAAGUAUGAAAAUUGAGUACUUUUCCCACCACUGUUAAUAAUGCAAAAAUAACAACCAUUGUUGCAGUACUGUAUUGGACCACACUGGAGUAUGUGUCCUGUGACAGAACAAGUCAGCAGAAUAACCAAAUCAAAGCUACAAACUGUUUAUAUGAAACAUUUGAUGAAUGUGCACAUUUAAGAGUUGCCUCGGGUUUUAAAGGGGGUAGUAAAUAAACAAUAAACUAUAACACAACAUAAACAUUAACUAACAAUUCUGAGCAUGAAUCUCUCAUCUUUUCCAAGUCAUUCAAAUGGGAAAGUGCAUUUUAUGCUGCCUUCUUUUUGCUUUCAAGACUUAAAACCACCAACAUGCAUUAGUGAAAGGAUCUAUAAAUGAAUAAAAAUGGAGAACACCCCCCCCCCCCAAAAAAAAGACUGGGCUGUCCAUUUCCCAGGCCACUAACAUGCCUUCCAUCCUCCGAUACCAGUGCACCCGCUCCCCAGCCAAUGCCGUUUACCCAAACCUUUCAUUUUUUAUGACAUUAGUUCUGCUGACUGGCUCUGCAGUGUUAGUUCAGCUGAUGACUUACAAAGACCUAAAUAGAGAUGCUAUGGAUUUGUCAUAGAACCAGUUCUGUGAUGGACCCAUUGUCUGUGUUGUUGUCCAUUGGGGGGGAUACACCUCGCAGCCAGUCCCCAAUGUGUCAUACCCUCGCCAGGAAUCUAUUUCAACAGAACCUGCCUGUGUUGAUUCUUUGGUGGCUGUGUAACUCUGCCAUGGGGGCAACUUCUCACAACCUAUAGCAUCCUCUAUGUGGAAGCACUGUUGACAUUGUCUAAAAAUAAAUGUUCCUAAAUUCCUUGUU